rnacentral:rRNA from 1 species
GUUAUGAAAUAUUAUUCAAGUUAUUUUAUAUCUGGUUCUUUGAGAGAUUUAUUUGUUUGUGGGUUUAUUAGGUCAGUAGGUAGGGAUUAGCUUGUUUAUUGUUUAUAUACAUUUAUAAGGUAGAUUUGUUUGUGAAGUUGAUAGUGCUUGUUUUUAAGGAGUUAUUAUAAGACAGGAGGUUUAUAUUAUUGUUUUUUGGUUGUGUGAUUAUUGAGGUUAGUUGGUUAAUUUUUUUCUUUUGUGAAAUAAUGAUUAUAUUAGUAAUAUUUUAUUUAGUUUAAUUAAGUGUAGUUGAGGGGAGUUGAUAGUUAUCAGGUUAAUUUUUAAUUAGAGUAGAUGAACUCGGCAAGAUUAAUUUUUGACUGUUUAGCAAAAACAUUGUUUUUUGUAAGGAUAAGAAAUAAGUUCUGUCCACUGCUAUUAGGUGAAGGGCUGCAGUAUUUUGACUGUAUGAAGGUAGCAUAAUCAUUAGCUUUUUAAUUGGGGGCUGGUAUGAAGGUGAAACAGGGAUUGUCUGUGUUUUCUUUAUUUGUUGAAUUUUAUUUCUGUGUGAAAAAUCAUAGUUGAAUUAGAGGGACAAGAAGACCCUAAUAAGUUUUAUUUUUUUACUUGAUGAUAGUAUAGGUGUAUAUUUAUUUGAUUAGAGUUGGGGGGUUUGGCUGGGGCGGCUACUUAUUUAACGUAAGUAAUUUUUUAACUUUAUUUGGC